AUGCCAUAGAGGUACUUACUGCAACACUAGUUUUAACUGUUGUAAUAAAUACACCAAUAGCAACGGUUCUCUUGAACUUUUUAUCUACUGCAAUAUUUAUCUAUUCCCUCCAUAUUUUCCCUCUUCUAAUUUUACAAAAAAAGAAGAAAAUAAAAGUAUAGCCACUUUUAUGUGUUUUAGGCAUUUGUAUCUUGGAACACAUUGAAGCUCUCAAAAGAUUACCCAUAAAAGGUCUCCAAAUAAGUACGAUUGGUCACGAAAGAACUGAGUAAAGAAUUCUAAUCGGAAGAUCAUCAACGAAUUUGUAACUGCUCUGGAAUUUUUCUCAUUAUUUAUUCAAAUAAAAAGAAAGAGAACCCUGGCUCAGAUCUCAAUUUCUCGAUUUCAUCCCCCCCCCCCCCAGGUAUUUCUCGAUCAUUUUUUUAUGCAAAGGAUUUUUCGAUGUUGAUAGUUUAUGUGUUUUUUUUAUAGUCAUGGUUCGAAUUUGUAUGAAAUUUGAAACAAUUCUUGUUUUCUGAACAAAAUAGGGUAUGAAUCUUCUUAAAAGUUUUUCUUUAUUCUCAUAGUUAGGGUUUUGAAUUGCAAUUUUUUUGGCUUCCAUUGUUUUCUGUUUUUUUGGUUGCUUUGUGUGUUGGUUAGAACCUAAUUAGAGUAAUAUUUUUGGUGGAAUAUUUCAUUAAGAAAGUCACUUGCAGUAAAUGUCUUCUCCUUGAUCGAAAGAAGAUUUUGGUGCUUCUUGCAGAGCCAUGCUCAAAUUCUCAAUAACAGUGGGAAUAGUAAGCAUACAAUCGAUCUUUUCAGUAUUCUUUUUGCCUUGCAUUAUUCUUAGCUUCAGGUUGUUUAUGUAACUAUGUGGUAUUGGAGUUUCAGUCUUUCUUUAUCCACAAUAUACUAUCUCUAUGCACCUAAUUAUUGGUUUAUAUACAUAUAGUUUAUUGUAAGAGGAAUAGAAGAAGUAUAAAAAAGAAAAUGAUAAGAAGUUUCUUUUGAGGAUUAGUAUCAAGUAACCCAUAUUCUUUCUUGUACAAAGUGAUGCAAGUCUCUAAAUACUAAAGGCUAUUAUGAUAUGAAUGCAAAGCAGUUGAAAAAAUAAAAAACUGUAUAACUGCUUGUAACUAUGAAUGCACAUUUAUCGAUAUCAUACGUCAACACUUUAAUUUAAAAGAGGAAAAAAGUUAUUAUUUAGUGUUAUAGACACCUUCACAUUCACUGAUCUUAUACUUGACAGAGCUACAAAGUUCAUGUUCAAAAAAGGUUCCUGCACUAUUUUUAGCUAAAAAUGCAGUUACUUUUUUCCAUUUUUAAUAUGCUCUUGUAGCUGGGAUUUCACUGUGUUUGUGGUAAUCUGCUCUUGUAGCUAAUGAACAUUAUUAAAUACUGAAGCUUAACUAUUAAUCACUUGAUAUUUUGUAGUCUUUGUGAGGUUCUUGCACUUAGUGAUUUUUAAUCAUCCUAUGGUAAUUCUUGAUUACCAUAUCUUUUCAAUUGUUGAAUGUUAUAUCAGCAUUUUAUCUACGGGAGGAAGUAUAUAUGUGUGGAUUCUCACUUUUGUUCCUUAUCCUUGUUAACUCUAUGUUGAGCAAGAGCCGGUUGUCUCAAAAGUUCAAAUGUGAAUGUCCAUACUUUGGAAAAAGUUCGAAAUCAAAUACGAUUUCCUGCUCAAGAGAUAAGAACCCUUGUCUCUCUCUAUAAAUAUACUCACUAUUGAGGGUGUAGAGAAACAGUGAAGCGAGAGGAGACGCCGCUUAUACUCAAAAGCCUUGGCCAACACUUUAAUCUCGCUCGACUCUGGUGAAGGAAUCAAGUUUGAGGCUCACCACUUCAGUUCGCUGCCAUAACAUAGAUUCUUAUUUGGAUGGCCAUAAACAAUGCAUUGUGGAAUUAGAAAGUGCCUCGACCACAGGUGAUCAAGGAGCAAAGAAAAAUGGAGAUACAAGUAUAAUUAUUUUGACAUUCUUAAUAGUAAACAUAAAUGUAAAGAUAAGGUAUGGAUAGAAGAAUUAUAUAAAUAGAGAAAUUAUAUAGAGGAUUUGUAUAGGCUAGUUGGAGGAGCUAGUUGUUGGCUGCUUUAAUUGCAACUUUGCUUUGACUGUUGUUUUAAUAUUAUGUGUUAGACCAAAAAUAAAUUCCUUUCAUAAUUUAUAUAAAUUUUGUUGUACUA